AGUCAUAUGCUUGUCUCAAAGAUUAAGCCAUGCAUGUCUCAGUACAAGCCAAAUUAAGGUGAAACCGCGAAAGGCUCAUUAAAUCAGUUAUGGUUCCUUAGAUCGUACCAACAUUUACUUGGAUAACUGUGGUAAUUCUAGAGCUAAUACAUGCAAACAGAGUCCCGACCGGAGACGGAAGGGACGCUUUUAUUAGAUCAAAACCAAUCGGUGGCGGGUCCGCUCGUCAUCGCACAAUUUGGUGAAUCUGAAUAACUUACUGCUGAUCGCACGGUCUCGCACCGGCGACGCAUCUUUCAAAUGUCUGCCUUAUCAACUGUCGAUGGUAGGUUCUGCGCCUACCAUGGUUGUAACGGGUAACGGGGAAUCAGGGUUCGAUUCCGGAGAGGGAGCCUGAGAAACGGCUACCACAUCCAAGGAAGGCAGCAGGCGCGCAAAUUACCCACUCCCGGCACGGGGAGGUAGUGACGAAAAAUAACGAUACGGGACUCAUCCGAGGCCCCGUAAUCGGAAUGAGUACACUCUAAACCCUUUAACGAGGAUCAAUUGGAGGGCAAGUCUGGUGCCAGCAGCCGCGGUAAUUCCAGCUCCAAUAGCGUAU
rnacentral:rRNA from 1 species